rnacentral:rRNA from 1 species
UGAGAGGUUGAACGGCCACAUUGGGACUGAGACACGGCCCAGACUCCUACGGGAGGCAGCAGUGGGGAAUAUUGCACAAUGGGGGAAACCCUGAUGCAGCGACGCCGCGUGGAGGAAGAAGGUCUUCGGAUUGUAAACUCCUGUUGCUGAGGAAGAUAAUGACGGUACUCAACAAGGAAGUGACGGCUAACUACGUGCCAG